GACGAACGCUGGCGGCGUGCCUAAUACAUGCAAGUAGAACGCAGUUGCGAACGGGUGAGUAACGCGUAGGUAACUGCCUCAUAGCGGGGGAUAACUAUUGGAAACGAUAGCUAAUACCGCAUACUGUGAGAUGGACCUGAGUUGUAUUAGCUAGUUGGUGAGGUCAAGGCUCACCAAGGCGACGAUACAUAGCCGACCGUAGAGGGUGCUCGGCCACACGGGGACGGAGACAACGCACAGACUCAUACGGGAGGCAGCAGUAGGGAAUCUUCGGCAAUGGACGGAAGUCUGACCGAGCAAGGCCGCGUGAGUGAAGAAGGUUUUCGGUUCGUAAAGCUCCGUUGUUAGAGAAGCGGUAACUACCCAGAAAGGGACGGCUAACUACGUGCCAGCAGCCGCGGUAAUUC
rnacentral:rRNA from 1 species